rnacentral:piRNA from 1 species
UUCUUUAUGUUGAGGAAGCCCAUUUGGA